rnacentral:rRNA from 1 species
AACCAGCUCUUCAAGUGUUCGGGCCAAUUAUUGGGCUUAAAGUGUCCGUAGCCGGUUUGGCAAGUUCCUGGUGAAAGCUGGUAGCUUAACUAUCAGUAGGCUAGGAAUACUACCUGACUUGAGGGUGGGAAAGGUCUGAGGUACUCCGGGGGUAGCGGUGAAAUGCGAUAAUCCUUGGGGGGCCACCAGUGGCGAAGGCGUCAGACUGGAACACGCCUGACGGUGAGGGACCAAAGCCAGGGGAGCGAACGGG